GCAGUACUCCCUCUGUCCGGAAAUACUUGUCUUAGAAAUGGUUGUAUCUAGACUUAUUUUAGUUAUAGAUACAUCCAUUUUAUCCAUUUCUAGGACAAGUAUUUCCGGACGGAGGGAGUACAUU
rfam:Triticum urartu cultivar G1812 contig555765, whole genome shotgun sequence.